UUUUUAGAAAGAAUAAAGUUGUGAAUUUUGUUUUCAUAUCGACAAUUAUUUUUGCUCAUUAAAUAUUUAUGUUAUAUAUUUAUUGUUAUGUUUAACUUCCGCCAGCUGUUGUUCUCUUGAGAACUUAUUGAGGUUCUUAUUUCUUAAUUGACUAAUCAAUUAAUUAGUGCAUCAUGGAGCACAAUAAUCAGGUUUUAUCUGUCGAGGUUGAUAGGAAGAAUUUUUCUCCUAAGAGUCCCAUCUCCGUGUUCUUGUAAAGGGAAAAAGAUAAGCUCGGCGUUCUUGAUGGCUCUAGUCCCGAACCUGUAGAUGACAAGCAGAAGGCACAGUGGAAGAUAACUAAUCUCCUCGAUAACCAACCCUGUCAACGACAUCGCUUUGAGUCUUAGGCCUUAUCAAACUGCUACUGCUAUGUGGAAACACCGAGAGAGAGUUUACUCUCAGACUAGUCAAGCAAGGCAAUUCGAGUUGGAGUUUGAACUCAAACUAUCAACAGGAUGACAAAGACGUUCAGACUUGUUAUUCAGUUUAGCAGUUGAAUCAGCUGCAUCCUGGUUAUCUAGUCUAUGACAAGCCACCUCUUUCUGUAGAACUUUCAGAGCUCGAUUUGCUUCCUCCCAAAGUUGAUCCUGAAGGUGUUCAAGUUUGUCAAUUUCAUGCAUUAACGUGAAAGGUGCAGUUGAUGAUUGCCUCGUAGACUGUCUUGGCAUCGUUUUCAUGAUUCUAUAAUAGUGGAUUGGCUCCUUGCUGUCAAGAUCUAGCAAGGAUGCGUCAGAGUAAGAGAGAUAAUUAUUCACUGAUGGACAGGGUGAUUCCAAUAUGCUUUGAAGCAUGUCAAUCCUCUUGAAGUUUUUUGAGCAAUUCAUCGACCUUAGAUCCUAAGUUUCUAGUUCCACCUCUGAUUAGGACGACCAACAUUCAGGGUCGCCAUUGCAAUGAGAUGGUUUACAUCACAUUGUAGAAAGAGGAACUUUAACAACUACUAAAAAUGUCUGGCCAAAUUGUUUUUGGUUUUCAACUUUGGAAAGAAAUUACAACCGAAAAGGACAUCGAGCUUUUCAUGCCUCAAACACAUUGGGCUCAUAGAAUCAAAGGCAACCAAUAAAUGACUCUUCCCUUUCUCACAAUGAUGAGCAACAAAAGAUUCAGAGCACUUUACUUUUAACCUUACUAGCUUACAUAUCUACCGCUGGCAUCUGACGAAUGAAAAUCAGUUUUUGAAUCUUGGUUCAUUGAUUCCGCCGCUUCUAACUUGACGUAGGAGUUUUUUUUUUAAGAAAAUAAAUAUUUUGUUCUUUAUAUUUAUUUUUCUAUUAUGUAUUGUUAUGUUUUUUGUUUUUUUUUUUUGGUUUGAAGAGAAUGGUUUUUCUAUUCAGUUAUAUGAAAAGUUGUAAUAGAAUUUUGACAAAUACAUAUUAAUAAAUAUGUUAGGAAUUUAUUUAUAAUU